rnacentral:rRNA from 1 species
AGAGUUGAUCAUGGCUCAGGACGAACGCUGGCGGCGUGCCUAACACAUGCAAGUCGAACGGACGAGGGGAGCUUGCUCCCCAAGUUAGUGGCGGACGGGUGAGUAACACGUGAGCAACCUGCCCUUCGGAGGGGGACAACAGCGGGAAACUGCUGCUAAUACCGCAUAAUGUAUUCUGGAGGCAUCUCCGGGAUACCAAAGAUUUUAUCGCCGAAGGAUGGGCUCGCGUCUGAUUAGAUAGUUGGUGGGGCAACGGCCCACCAAGUCUGCGAUCAGUAGCCGGACUGAGAGGUUGAACGGCCACAUUGGGACUGAGAUACGGCCCAGACUCCUACGGGAGGCAGCAGUGGGGAAUAUUGGGCAAUUGGGGGGCAACCCUGACCCAGCAACGCCGCGUGGAGGAAGAAGGCUUUCGGGUUGUAAACUCCUUUGACGAGGGACGAUGAUGACGGUACCUCGAAAACAGGCCACGGCUAACUACGUGCCAGCCGCCGC